rnacentral:lncRNA from 1 species
GGGGGGACUCGAAGCCGAUUGCAUGCGAGCCGGUUUCAGGGCCCCAUAGCCUAUGUCGUACACCGUACCUGCAUUUGCCAGUAGUGUGUGAUGUCGUACAGGAUGCUGGUAACGGGGGUGGGGAGGGCGGCGUCCUGAUCCGAAAGGUUCGACUCCUGGAAGAAUCCUAAGCUGUAUGUACGACCGUCGAACGUGCAAGCGGCGGUGAACGGACAGGAAUGCAUCUGCAAGGGCGCAAUGAGGGUUGUAUGUGUGUAUGUAUGCAUGUAUGUCCAUGUGUGUAUAUGCGUAUGUAUGUCCGUGGAGGGAGAGAGAGCUGGACCCAAUGCGCAAGGAAGCAUACGUAUCAACUUGCUGCCCACAUCACCCAUAAACAGAGGUAAGGUAGAGGGUUCGGGGGAGCUCUUUGCUCCGUACGCCCUCCGUACGGAGAUUCUCCCUCUCCCCUCUCUUCUCUCUCUCUCUCUCUCUCCUCCAUCUCCCCCCCCUUCUCUCUCUUUCCCCCCUGUUUCCCCUCUUCCCGUCACCUCCCUCCCCCCACACCACGAACAACACCCCUCCCCCCCUCCCUUCCCCCCUCUCCCUUCCCUCCCCCCCUUCCCUUUCCCCCCUCUCCCUACAUGAAUUUCUUUAAUGUGAUCCCCCCCUUUACCUGCGGGGAGAAGGGCGACGAGUGCCAGUACCCAUCCUCCGGAACCAAAUAACCAACCGCAUCCGUGCUGACGUUGGCCCGACUUCCGUUGAAGUUGCAGCUGGCGUAGUCCGGGCACUCGUCGCAGGUCACGUUUUGGUCGUUAAAGCCGUAGUAGUUGGGUCCAGAGCACUCCGUGCACUCCUCGCCCGAGUCCUGGCUGACCUCCCCCAGACCGCAGGGCCGAAUCUGAAAGCGGUUGGCGGUUGGGGGUGGUUGGGGUUUGUUAGAAGACCGAGC